UGAAGUAAAAGUCGUAACAAGGUUUCCGUAGGUGAACCUGCGGAAGGAUCAUUACUGAGUGAGGGCCCCUCGGGGUCCAACCUCCCACCCGUGUUUAACGAACCUUGUUGCUUCGGCGGGCCCGCCUCACGGCCGCCGGGGGGCAUUUGCCCCCGGGCCCGCGCCCGCCGAAGCCACCUGUGAACGCUGUCUGAAGUAUGCAGUCUGAGACAAUUAUUAAGUUAAUUAAAACUUUCAACGACGGAUCUCUUGGUUCCG
rnacentral:misc_RNA from 1 species